ensembl:lncRNA
UUUGGUAUCUUGUUUGAAAGUGAAAGUCACUCAGUUGCGUCCGAUUCUUUGCCACCCCGUGGACUAUACAGUCCAUGAAAUUCUCCAGGUCAGAAUACCAGAGUGGGUAGCCUUUCCCUUCUCCAGGAGAUCUUCCCAACCAAGGUCUCCCACACUGCAGGCAGAUUCUUUACCAGCUGAGCCACAAGGGAAGCCCAAGAAUACUGGAGUGGGUAGCCUAUCCCUUCUCCAGGGGAUCGUCCCGACCCAGGAAUCGAACUGGGGUCUUCCUGCAUUGCAGGUGGAUUCUUUACCAACUGAGCUACCAGGGAAGCCCUUAGAAGCCCUUGGUAUCUUGUUUAGAAUGCUUAAAAUAACAUGCACUUUGCUGUCUGUUCAGUAAAUAGAAGCUUACUGAUACAGUUUAUCUUUACAGCUUUUUGAGAUUGUGCAUUUAUAUGGAAAAUCUGAUGAACGUUGACAACCCAAAGCAAUGAUUCUCAAACUCAGAACUGUCUACUUGAGUGAUUACUAAAAUGCAGAUUCUUAGGCACCCAGGCCACCCUGAGAUACAGUCAUAAGAUUUUUGGUUUGUUUUUUCUUUUAAGUAAUUGUCCUAGGGGAUUUUGAUAAAGUGGUAUAAACUUUCUAAAGAAAUGUAAAUCAGUAAAGGUUUCCCAGGUGGCUCAGUGGUAAAGAUUCCACCUACUGACACAGGAGAUGAGGGUUUGAUCCCUGGGUGGGGAAGAUCCUCUGAAGAAGAAAAUGACAACCCACUCCAGUUUUCUUGCCUGGGAAAUCCCAUGGACAAGAGGAGCCUGAUGAGCUAGAGGCCAUGGGAUUACAAACAGUAGGACAUGACACAGCGACUAUACCACCACCACCAAUUCAGUAAAAUUUAACCCUUAUGUAUUGGAUCUCGCUCAAAAUUAUUUUAGGAGGCAAGUUGGGGGUAUGUAAUUAUUAACCUCAUCUUCUUAAUCAGUAGGGAAGUGACUUUUAAAAGUUAACAGGCUAUUUUUUUGAGCUGUUCUAACUUUACAGAAACAUUGAGGGCAAAGUGUCCCUAUAUUUGUUUCCUCUAUUAUGAACGUGUUGUAUUAGCAUGGUACGUCUGUUACAACUGAUGAGCCAGUAUUGCAAAGUGACUUUGAAAUGACCAUGGCCAAGGCUGCCAGUUGGCUGGGCUGCGGCUGGGAACCAAGCCAUAUCCACACCCUCGCUUCAACAAGCUGCCUGGUACUUUCUCUUGAAAGAUGUUCUAUACAGAUUAACACCAUAAUGGCUGUAACUGCUCUGUGCCAGUAUCUGAACACAGGUGGCAGCAGGACUCAUUUGACUAAGCCCUGUGAUUGGUGCCUGGUUGGUAUUUAUCCUGGCUCCAUCUUAACUUUCCGUGCAACCUGGGACACAAUUGUUAAUGGCUUACAUGUGUAAACCUGUGAAACAGGGCAGUCACAGAGCACAGUAUCAAGUAUUAGUUUAUACCCUGACUCUUUCUAAAGGGAAUGGGUACAACGAUAUUAAUGCUGAAGAACUGCUCUGACAGAGGUUACAAACAGGCUUGAGUUUUCACACAAGGAUGACAUUCAUUCAUUCUCUGAAACAGUCUGAGGAUAUUGGAAAGCAAGGCACUUCUAUUUUCUCAAUUGAAGACGGGAAGGACAUCAAUUAAAAAAAAAACCCUAUAGAAUAUAGUUUUACUCCAAUAUGAUAUAGUUUCCUCAAUAGUCUUAGGAUAAACCACACCUGGUCAUUAAGUGGAGCUGGCAGUGGUGUGAGUGGCUGGACACCUCUGGACAGGCUUCCCAGGAAAGAUGUCUUUCUGACUUGAGUUUUAAAAGAUGAGCAGUUGCCAAAUCCCCUAGAGAGAGUUUCUCAAACCACCUGUGGUUAAGAACCAGUCGUUUUUGUUCCCAAUCUUCCAGGUACCAAUACGAAACCCCUUAUGUGCCAGACAGGUUCCAGUUUGCAGAAGAGCACAAGGCAGCUGAAACUUGCUGGAAAUGCAAGAUUAUCAGCGCUCACCCUAAGCAAGUCCAAUCUGCGUUUUAACCAGAUUCCCAGGUGAUUCCUGUGCACGCUAAAGUUCGAGGAGUUGCCCCAGAGAACCCAGGACUCGGUACGGGGAUGGGAGGAUUUGAGCCUUCACCCGCUUCCAUUUGGCUAUCUGCUUUCUUUGGGUCCGUGGAAAGGGUUACAUUUUUUUAAGGUGUAAUUGGCCACGUCCUCUUCCAGUUUACAAAACUGAAUUUUCCCGCCGCGACGAAAACUUGUAACCUGAGUGCAGGAGAUAAACUCCACACGGGUAGGCGGCUUCCAGAAAUUCUGAUCAGCCUCCGUUCUCUGCUUUGAUCUGGCCCAACAGCCGGGGCAGCUCCUCGGAUCGCGCUUCCGUCCCCGGGGUCGCUCAUCUGCCGAGCUGCAUUAAUGAGAUCCACGUUGAGCCGGUUCCAGGGUCUGCUGAAGAUCAAAGGCACACACACACACACACAAAUCCCCCAACCCCUCCUCCUCCUCGGUGACUAUUAGGUCUCUAUCACCAGAGGGGAGUCAACUUCUCCUACCCUCCCCAUGGUCGGGAGGGGAGGAGGCGGGGAGGUAGUCCGCGAGCCGCUCGGGCCCCGCCCGCCUCCGAGCCUCCAAGCCCGCGGCGGCCCGAGGCGCGGAGUGGGCGGGGCCUGGGCGAAGUUGGGGG